UACGGAGGGUGCGAGCGUUGUCCGGAAUCACUGGGCGUAAAGGGCGCGUAGGUGGUCCUUUAAGCGUGUGGUGAAAGCUCGGGGCUCAACCUCGAGUCGGCCAUGCGAACUGGGGGACUGGAGCACUGUAGAGGCAGGUGGAAUUCCGGGUGUAGCGGUGGAAUGCGCAGAUAUCAGGAGGAACACCAAUUGCGAAGGCAGCUCGCUGGGACGUUACUGACGCUGAGACGCGAAAAGCGUGGGGGAGCAAACAGG
rnacentral:rRNA from 1 species